AUUACAGCCGACCCAGAUUAUGCCCACUUCCAGCCGAGCCCAAGUUUCCCCCCGGCCCUCCCCAUCACUGAGCACCGCGGUGACCUCCUCCCCGCCACGCCGCCCAGCCCUGGGAGCCGCCAGCCGCCCGGCACCGCGGGCACCUCCGCUCGCCCUCCGCCGGCGCACCGCCCGCCCUGGCGGCUCCCCCGGCCGCUUCCCCGUGCGGGGUACGGCGGGGGCGCAGCCCCUGUAACCCGAAGGGCUGCCCCGCUCCCCGCCCGGCAGGCCCAGGCCCUCACCGCAGCGCUCCCCCCCCCUCCCCAAGCCGACCCCCAGAGCCAGCGGCGGGGACGGGCGAGCCCCUCCGCCCGCUCGCAGCCACCAUUUCACCGCCGAGCCUCCCCGCCACGAAGCCACCCGCAGCCCCCCCCCCCCCCCCCCCCCCCCCCCCCCCCCCCCCCCCCCCCCCCCCCCCCCCCCCCCCCCCCCCGGGGCAGGGGGCUGUCCCUCGCCGCCGCGCUCCGUCCCCUAGCAGAGAAGGGCAGCGACCCGCACACCGCCCGCACCGGGGGACCCCGCCUCGCCCCACCUGCCCCGGGGGGGCAGCGCUGCCCGGGGACCCCUCCUCACGCUCGCCGGGCACUCACCGGGCGGAGCGGGGACGGGGAGAUGGAGGCGAACGGGGCACGGCGCGGCUCCGCCUUCCUGAGUAUGAGAGACCAAGAAGAGGAAAAGCAUUCCCACUGGUGAAGCAAACAAGACAUAGAAAAAGAGAAGAAGCUGCUACAAGGAACGGAUGAUAGUUAAGACAGAUAGCAGUGUCAGGAACAUUACGUUUCAGAAAUACAUCGUCACAGAAGCAGAGAAGGAAGGGUCCACAGCUCCAUCUGCCCCUGCAAAGUAAGCAUGCUCACAGCACUGCGAGGCACUUGUCCAAACGUCAGCCCUGCACCUCCCAUGAGGGCAGAUGCACAAGUCCCUCAAGCAGCCCGGUCUAACGCUUAAUGAUGCUCAUAAUUAGAAAGUUUUCCUAACAUCUAACCUAAAUAUUCUUUUCUGCAAAUUGGGUUCCGUUCUUCUCAUCCUACCCCCAGCGGACAUGAAGAAUAAUUGAUUGUCGUCGUUUUUAUCACACUGAAAUACCGGAACAUGUGCUGGAACAUGUCACCAUGUGCUUCUCCUGCUCUUCUGUUUUCUGGAUCGAAACCCAGUUCCUUCAGAGUUAUCCUAAGGGUCUGGUUCUCAUUUAUUUCUUCUGACCUCCCUCCAGCUCCUGGGUGUCCACUAAAUAUGUAGCUCGCCUGUGCAAACAUGCGACGCCAGCUGAGGACACCCUUCCUGAGGGGAACAACCUGGUGACUGCCCAGACCACACAUACAAAACUUCUUAGUGAGCUCCUCAGUGACUUAGAAGUCAGAGAGUUUGGGGGGUUUUUUGGUUGAUUUUGUCACCAACUUGGAAUGCAUAUCAUAGAAAGUUAUUGUAAUCUCUCUUCAUUUAUUUAUUUUUUGGUCUGUAAAAGGGAAAUGAAGAUGCUUGUGAAGUGCACGGCUCCUUGGGGGGAAGAUGCUAUUGAAGUGCAAAAUAGAAAUGCUUGUGUAUCAUCACUUCUGCUAGAGAAAUGCUUGGGUAUCUGGCCCUCUCAUCACUUAUGCUAGCUGAAACAGGCAGUUCAGAAAGCUAAAGUCACCAAAUCCAGCAGAGUCAUUGUAGGAUUUGUCCAAACCUGGAUCUGCAGCGUGCUGUCCUCUUGUCAGGACCCUUUGUUUCCAUUUCC
rnacentral:lncRNA from 1 species